rnacentral:rRNA from 1 species
CUCCUGGUUCCGGGUACGGAAAAGGGUUCGAUUCUGGGUAGGAGCCUGAGAACGGCUACUACAUCUACGGAAGGCAGCAGGCGCGUAAUUACCCACCCUUCUAUCCCCGGGAGGUGGUGACAAGAUAUAACAACAACGAUGCAAAUCGUGAUUGUAGUGAGGGUAUUCUAAACCGAACCACUAGUACGAUUAGAGGGCAAGUCUGGUGCCAGCAGCCGCGGUAAUUCCAGCUCUAAUAGCGUAUAUUAAAGUUGCUGCAGUUAAAAGCUCGUAGUUGGAUUUCAAGGACAGCUUUACCUCUCUCGGGAAUAUGCUUCCUACUAGUCUUCGGACUGUUACUGUGAGAAAAUUAGAGUGUUUAAAGCAGGCUUUUGCAAGAAUACAUUAGCAUGGAAUACGAAUGUGUUUAGAAUCUUGGUAAUCAAGACGAAAAGAAGAGAAAGACGGGGGCAUAGAUUAUUGCCGAGGGAAUUCUUGGAUUUGUCCAUUUCCUAUCGUAUGCGAAGCAUUUGCAGGAUGUUUUCAUCAAUCACCACCGCACCACUACGGGGAUCAAAAACAUCAGAUACUGUUGUAGUCCCAUCUAUAACCUAUGCGACUAGGAUUGACUGAGACUUACCAUUCAGUACUUAUGGAAAUCAGUCUUUGGGUCUGGGGGGGUAUGUCCAAGCUGAACCUAAGAAUUGACGAGACACCAGAUGACCUGGGCUAUCUGACCACGGACUAAGUCGACUAUAGGAUGCAGAUUGAAG